AUAAUCCUAUCUUCCUAUAAUCCAACGGUGGAUAUUGAUCUUUGAUCAGUGUCUAGUAGAUAGAGAGAGUGCAUGGAGUCGUGGUCAUUUCUGGAACUGAAAAAACAGGGUGGGUAGGGUCUGGGCUCUGCACCUUUCUUUUGUCUUUUUUAACGUUGGCUUUCUAUUUUUUUUUUUCUUUCAAUUUUUUUUUUAACUCCUUCUUAUAACCCCUCCCCCCCAUGCCAUAUCAUUCCCUUCAUCAUCUCUUCAUGAUCACACCAAUCUCUCUCUCUCUCUCUCUCUCUCUCUUUCUCUCUCUCGCUCUCAUCCCCCUUGAAGAUAGGCGAAACUCUUGGGGGAUAAAAGAAAGAAAGAAAGAAAGAAAGAAAGAAAGAGAAGAGUUUUUUAGCUCCAGAAAUAAAAACGCACGCACGCACACACAACAAUAUCAUCCCUUUCUCCUUUCCCUUAUAUCUCUCUCUUUAGAAUGAAAAGAAUUGGGCUGGAUGUGCAGGCAAAGAGGGAAGCUUUUUGUUUUUGAGGGGAAUGUUGUCUGGCUCGAGGACUCUCUUUUGAUCCCUUUCAAUUUUCUCCAUAGAUCCAAUACGGAUAUUGGGAGUGGGUAGAUCAUUUGACAGUGUCGUCGGACCAGGCUUCAUUCCCCCCAAUUGAAUAUGCUUCUCAUCGAAGAUUUCAUUCCAAGGAUUUGCAUGUAGAGGUAAACCACAUGCUUAAGCAGUGAGCUUUUUCCUAUAUUUGUGCUUCUAUGUUGCACGUUUUAGAAGGGUAGUGACAAACCCAUUGGAUCAAUAAGGGUUUUGGUGGUUGCCAUCGUCGUCGUCGUCGUCAUCAUCAUUAAAUGUUCUUUAUCUUAUAAUCUUGUUGCUCGUUGUCUGCCUUUGUUUUCUUCUCAUCGGAGUUUGAGGGAGAAAACAUCCUGAAUGAAUGUAAUGAAAGCAUUUUGAUUUGAAAGUAGUAUAAAAAAACCUACAUGCUUCUAGGGCCUAGGUCAUAUUUCUGCCAGUUAGGCCUUGAUUGUGUAAUGUUCUUGUCCCGUCUCUGCCUCCCCUUCUUCUCCUUCUUCCUCGCAUACGGAGACAAGCAGGCAGGCAGGCAACCAUACAUGUAAUGAACAGACUUUACAGAGCAUGGAAAAUUGUGACAAAUGAGGAUCAGCUAGCCAUUAAUAUCUCUUUAUUGCCUGUCAAUGUAUGACCUAAUGUUUGUAAUUAAUUUUCAUAAGUUUCUGAGUUUAUCAAAAGCAGGUUUGGAAUCUGGGAAGCAAGUAUGGUCCUUUUCUAUUAGUGUUAUUACUAUGAUAAAUAUGUUUUUUCACCUCGAGAUUAGUUAGAUUAUGGGUUUCUUUGGUUAAACAUAAUGUUAUACUAAUUUCCAAUCUAUUUUCUCAAGCCAUUGUUGUUGAAAAAGGGAAAUGUAUGAAUACUGUCUCGUAAAGGACCGCCUUUUGGGAAAUUGAGUCUUUUUGACCUUCACAAAAACAUAAAGUACACCACUUUCUGCUUUGCUUUUAUCUGUGAUUAUUGAUUUUUAAUCUUUGAUUUUAGACAGGCAGAAAGAGAGAGAGAGAGAGAGAGAGUUCUUUGGCCUGGUUGAUGUGUUCCUAUAAAAGCUUUAUGACCACAGAUUUCCAUGAAUGAUUGUUAUAUGUAGAAAUUGACCAAGAAAACCAUAUAAAAACCAUAGAGGAUAAAAUGUUGAGUACAGUGUAGAAAACUAGUGGCAAAAAGAAAAGGACCCAAGGCUUUUCACAGUUAUUAGUCAGUUACAGCGGUAUCCAAGAAAAGUUUGUCUUGCUUUUCUAAUGUCAAUUCUCAUGUUAUAUUAUGGCAAUUAGCUUAUUGCUAAACUACAGUCUUAUACAGACUGUUAGUGUUUAUACAUUAUGGUGUGCAUAUGAAGGCGUUAGCUCUUUCUAAUAGAACAAGAAGAAGAAGAAGAAGACUAAACGAAAAGAAAGGGGAAGGCAACACUUGUGCAGCUAUGUUAUCUCAAUAAACAAAAGCUUCUACUGCGAUGCUUAUUUGACUUCUUAGGAAAAGAGAAAGAACGAGAGAGAGGGGGGAAGCUCUAUGUUUGUGGUUGGUAUCAAUUUUUAACUGUUUUUGACACCAAAAUUUUAAUUUCCAUUGGUAUUAAAGCUUUGCCAUUUAUAUCUAA